rnacentral:tRNA from 2 species
UUCCCCGAUAGCUCAGUCGGUAGAGCGACGGACUGUUAAUCCGCAGGUCGCUGGUUCGAGCCCAGCUCGG